AGAAUUUUAAUUUUGCCAAUAUGCAAUAACUAUUUCUGGGAGAAAAAUCUAAUUUUGCAUAUCUUCUUUCUAAGCUAUUGAACAUUGCUGACUUCUUGUAAAGUUUAAACAUAUAGAAUAAUGACAGCUCUUGUCACCAGUUCUUAGGUCAAGUUCCCUAAAAGCAGAGCCUGGGAUGUAGUUUUUUGUUUGUUUGUUUGUUUUUUUCUCCAGUGAUUUAUUGCUGAUUUAUAGCUCUCUAGUGAAAGCUAUAAGGGAAUUAGAAAAGCAGAAUAUAUUUGGGGAGGAAGCUAGGCAAAGUCAGGCAUUUAGCUGAAGUCUAGACUUAGCUUGACCUGAUGAGGUGCUCUGGAGUGAAUUGGCACACAGGAUAAAACUGUGAGCUGUUGAAGCAAACACAGCAGCGAGGGAAUCUGAGGGAGGAGGUCUGGAUGUGGUACCAAAAGCAUUUAUUACAAAGGGUAAAUGCAUGUUAGAAGCUUGAAAGAACAGAGUUUCUACUGAUUAUUAUUGCCAUAUUCUAUAAACAACAAUUAUCCAUGAAGUAGGUGAUAAUUUUGAUAUUGCAAAUCUGUGAAAAUCUAUCACCUAGCACCUUGAAAAUUUGAUAGCAUAUUUUAAAUUUUAUUUUCUAUCAAAUGAAGAUACAUGAAUAAGAAAUUAAUUGAUCCAGUAUUCAUUCUUCCACCAGAAUAUAAUUUAAAUACAACUAUAUUUUUUCAGGAUAAAUUGAUAGAGCUGGCUACUAGGAAAAGAUUAGAGAUAAAUUUUAAAAUUCAGUAUCAUUUGCUUCUUUUUGAUUAAAAGUUAAAAUGAAUAUCCCAAGCUUACUGAAACUCCUUUUUUUUUUUUUUUUUUUUUUUUUUUAAAUUGAGACAGGGACUCACUCUUCCACUCUUCUACCAGGCUGGAGUGCAGUGAUGCAAUCAUGGCUCACUGUAGUCUCGAACACUUGGGCUGAGGUCAUCCUCCCACCUCAGCUUAUCGAGGAGCUGGGACUACAAGCACACACCACCACGCCCAGCCAAUUUUUUUUUUUUUUUUUUUUUUUUUGAGAUGAGGUCUCACUGUAUUACUCAAGCUAGUCUCCAACUCCUAGACUCAAGCAAUCCUCCCACCUCGGCCUCCAAAAGCACAGGGAUUACAGGCAUAAGCCACUGUUCUCAGCCUGAAAUUGCUUCAAAAUCUCUUCUUCCAUUUCUUCUAACAUACGUACAGGAGGCUUGUGGCUGCGCUGAAUGUUGAAAGCAAGGAAAAGAAAAGAGAAAGAAAAACAACAUAAAACAAGUUUAUAUAUCAUUAUCUCCUGUAAAUAGUAUCCAUCUAUCCUACAUUAUGGGCUGGAAACAAAAGUUCCAGAACUUGACAAACCCCGAAAGAUGGAAGGUACAUAAGGUACCAUUUGACAGAUAGUAACUGAAGGAGCAAAAAGAUUCUACAUGUGAAGAAGACCUG
rnacentral:lncRNA from 10 species